UUUUCAUGCUAUUCACGAAUCCAAACUUAUUUUUUUGAGAAAAAGUCCCAAUCGGAGUAGAUCUAACUUCAAAGAUUCGGAAAUUUUUGAAUUUAAAAAAGGAGGAAAGAGGAAAGGAAGAGUUAUUACCUAUUUGUGAUGUGUUGUGGAGUAAGGGAGAGAGCUUUGCUUUCUUCCGGAUCUGGAAUGUUCCUUCCUUCCUUCUCUUCUUCUUCACGUGAUUCUUUGACCGAAUUUGUGCUUGUUGUUUGGUGAUGUUCUUGGCGCGGAUUUGUUGCUGGAUUCGGUUUCGUUGCUUUUUCCCUCUUCUUCUCUCUCUGUGAUCGUGCUUGGAUUCGCCGCUUUUGGUAGCGAAUUCGCACUUGAAUUGCAGAGCAGAGGCGGUUCGGUGAUGAAGAUUCACGAAGAAUCUCUGAGAAU
rnacentral:lncRNA from 1 species